rnacentral:rRNA from 1 species
GGAAGAGGUUUUCCGGCUCCUCUUGUUCAACCGAGGGAGGAUAAGAGGAGAGCGAGAGAGAGAGAGAGAGAGAGAGAGAGAGAGAGCUUCGACUGAGGUGAUGGAGCUUCUGCGGAUACCACUAUCCCUACCGAUUCUUGGAGGUAGGACGGUAGAUCCACUUGCUUCAUCGCUUGCUGAUUCAUGCUUCCACUAGUAGAUGCCACUACCUGCUUGUGUAAAUGCCCAGCCGUAACUAGGUCCCCACUUUACCAGAGUUCUUGGUAUCCUUUUGAUGCUCAUCUAAGUCUGUUUUCUGUUUGUACGUGUAUGGCAGUAACCUGACCUCUAUAACAUAUUUAGACAGCUGCCUGCCACUUCUCUCAGGAAGUGUGUUUCCUUUGCUCAGACAGUACUGUGUCUAUGGAACACAUGAUUCCCUAACCUGGAGCAGCUUACAAACCACCAGGAGAAAGCAGAACCUGAAUGGGGGUCGGUGGUCUGCACAGUGUGCGACGAGUCACGAUGGAGCUUCUGUCUCACAUGUAAAUGGUGCUCCAAAGGAUUCGCCUUUGCCGGAUAGUUUGCUUCGUGAUGCUCGCAUCCUCUAUUGUGCAUCUCCUGCCAUGGGUCAUAACAAGGAAGCACAUCCAGAAUCAAACAAAAGAGUGCCAGCAAUAGUUGAUGCUCUCGAAAAAUUGGAGCUUACACCAAAGCAUCGGGGUUCACAGGUUCUUGAAAUCCAAAAUUUCUACCCUGCUUCACUUGAUGAUGUUGCACGAGUUCAUUCAAGAACAUACAUCACUGGACUUGAAAAGGCUAUGAGUAAGGCUUUGGAUGAAGGUUUGAUAUUCAUCGAAGGAACUGGACCAACAUAUGCUACACAGACUACUUUCACAGAAUCACUUCUUUCAGCUGGUGCUGGAAUUACAUUGGUUGAUUCAGUGUGCUCGUUUGCCAAGAAAUGUUGUAUGUUUUCCUAGGUUGCAGCAUCAAAGCUGGGCCUAAGUCCACCUCUUGGAUUUGCGCUAAUAAGGCCACCCGGACACCAUGCUGUUCCUGAAGGUCCCAUGGGCUUUUGCGUCUUUGGGAACAUUGCAGUUGCAGCUCGGUACGCUCAGUGUCAACAUGGAUUGAAGCGAGUAAUGAUAAUAGAUUUUGAUGUUCACCAUGGCAAUGGCACAUGUGAUGCCUUUUAUGACGAUCCAGACAUCUUCUUCCUCUCAACCCACCAGCUAGGAAGCUAUCCCGGUACUGGUAAGAUGAAUCUAAUUGGUCAGGGCAGUGGCGAAGGAACAACGCUGAACCUGCCAUUGCCCGGUGGCUCAGGUGACUACUCAAUGAGGUGCGCCUUUGAUGAGGUCAUUGCUCCAUCUGCGCAGCGGUUCAAGCCCGAUAUCAUCCUCGUUUCAGCUGGCUACGACGCGCACGUGCUGGACCCUCUAGCGGGUCUGCAGUUCACGACGGGCACGUUCUACAUGCUGGCGUCGAGCAUCAAGCAGCUGGCCAGGGAGCUGUGCAGCGGCCGCUGCGUCUUCUUCCUGGAAGGUGGUUACAACCUGCAGUCGCUCUCCAGCUCUGUGGCUGACACCUUCCGUGCGUUCCUCGACGAGCCCAGCCUCGCUGCUCAGUUCGACGACCCGGCAAUGUUGUACGAGGAGCCGACGCGGAGGAUCAAGGAGGCGAUCGAGAAGGUCAGGCAUCUUCACUCGCUGUAGGUUACGCGCCGGGAGAUGAGGUGUAGACUCUACUGCUUGCAGCGCACGCACCAUGAAAUCAGAUCACGUGUUGCAUUUGCAGGUUCAGAGAGUGGGUGUGUGUGUUUGAAACAUCUGCUUGCUGGUCAUACACACUUGGUUAACUGCUGUCAAAAGCAUUGAUUUAUUAGGGAUCCUACACACAUAAUACAACUGAGUGUGCAACUGGGUCAUACAUAGAAUUGUGUGUGCGUGCGUGUGUAUGUAUUUAUUGUGGAUCCUGCGUGUAUAUAAUACUGCAUUUUGCCCUUCCAAACAAAAAUUACGUUAU